CACGCAGGCGGUUAUGUAAGUCGGACGUGAAAGCUCCUGGCUCAACUGGGAGAGGUCGUUCGAUACUGCGUAACUUGAGGUUGGGAGAGGGGAGCGGAAUUCCCGGUGUAGUGGUGGAAUGCGUAGAUAUCGGGAGGAACACCAGUGGCGAAAGCGGCUCCCUGGCCCACACCUGACGCUCAGGUGCGAAAGCGUGGGUAGCGAACG
rnacentral:rRNA from 1 species